rnacentral:rRNA from 1 species
GCUUGUCUCAAAGAUUAAGCCAUGCAUGUCUAAGUGUAAAUAAGUCUAUACUGUGAAACUGCGAAUGGCUCAUUAAAUCAGUUAUCGUUUAUUUGAUGAUCUCUUACUACUUGGAUAACCGUAGUAAUUCUAGAGCUAAUACAUGCGCCAAGUCCCGUCUUACGUCGGGAUGUAUUUAUUAGAUUUCAAUCAACACUUUUUGCUGACUCAUGAUAACUUAGCGGAUCGCAGAGGCCUCGCGCCGGCGACAAAUCAUUCAAGUUUCUGCCCUAUCAGCUUUCGAUGGUAGUGUAUUGGACUACCAUGGCAUUCACGGGUAACGGAGGAUUAGGGUUCGAUUCCGGAGAGGGAGCCUGAGAAAUGGCUACCACAUCCAAGGAAGGCAGCAGG